UUUUGGACAAUGGGCGAAAGCCUGAUCCAGCCAUUCCGCGUGAGUGAAGAAGGCCUUCGGGUUGUAAAGCUCUUUCGCACCCGAAGAAACGAUGCAGUCGAAUAAACUGUGUUAAUGACGGUACCUUGAUAAGAAGCACCGGCUAACUACGUGCCAGCAGCCGCGGUAAUACGUAGGGUGCAAGCGUUAAUCGGAAUUACUGGGCGUAAAGCGUGCGCAGGCGGUUUUGUAAGUCAGAUGUGAAAUCCCCGAGCUCAACUUGGGAACUGCGUUUGAAACUACAAGACUAGAAUAUGUCAGAGGGGGGUAGAAUUCCACGUGUAGCAGUGAAAUGCGUAGAGAUGGAAGGAAUACCAAUGGCGAAGGCAGCCCCCUGGGAUAAUAUUGACGCUCAUGCACGAAA
rnacentral:rRNA from 1 species